AGCGUUGCCCACCUGUAGGCUACCUGUGUGCGUUUAAAGCAGGCUGGACUAAGGCAUGAGAUGCUGAGUGUUGGGCGUAAUACAUGCAUCUGUGGGUUGUAAUCUCUGUUAUGGUUAUGUUAUGAUAUGGUUGUUGGGGUAUCAUCAGAGGAAUCUGUAGCCGGCAUAAGAGAAUGAGAGAUCCCUUCCCUGGGCUUAUGCAUGUCCGCCCUGCAGUUUUGAACUUCCCCAUUGGCUUUCUUUUGUAAACACCCCCACCCCAACUCUGUACCAUUAAAAAGAAAAAAAAAAAAAAAAGAAGGGUCACGCUCCAUUUCUGAAAGAAACCAUUUUGGUAGGGACACUUUGGCCUUCAUAGUGAGAGACUGUGGGGUAGCUAGGCCAGCUGUGGACCACUGGAGGCUCCCAGGUUUCUCUACACCCUUGGAAGUGGACUCAUCCUGCUUCCUGCUGUGGCUCUCCAUCCCUCCCUGAAUCUUUCUUGCCUCCUUCUCUUCCUCUUUAUGGAAUCAGAUCCUCUGGGUUAGGUUAAAGAUGGAUGAAGGCCAUGAGGUCUUAUCAUAUCUACCUGCUGGGCCCCUGUUUUUCUCCCAAGAAAUGUGUGUCUCCCCCAUCCUACCCCUGCCUUGACCCCCAGCUAGGCAGUGUUCAAGGAUUAGAUUAGAUAGAUUUGGGAGAGAGGUAGUGAUGGCAGACUGGUCCCCUCUUCUGGCUCCCCUGCCCUAUGAACCCAGACCUCUAUCUCCUUGUCUAUUUCUUGGCCUAAUCUCCUGCAUUUCUUCUGUCCAUCCAGGGGAAGAAGAAGAAGAGAAAAAGAGACAAGCAGCCGGGGGAAACCAACGGUGAGCGAGGAGAGUCAGGGAGGUGGAGGUUGGAGGACCACUCUUAUGUCAGGCUUCCCUCUGGGGGAGGCAGGAGAAAUCCAAGGCCAGGACAUUGCGGGGAACCCAUCUUAGGCAGCCUUUUUUGUUUAUGUGUUUUUUAAUUAAUUGCUUCAUGACUGCCCUUUUAAAGCUAGUAGCAUCCAUUGUUGCAUGAAAAGCCCGUUGUAACCCUAGCGGAAUGUGUUUUUAAAUUAACUGCCAAGCCUGUAACUAGAGGGCCAGCGUCAGUCACGCCUCCACCGGGCUUUAGACAGCCUGCUUAUUCUGUGUGUGUCUGAAGAGGGAUGAGGAGGCGAGGGGGCCAGGAGGGGCGUGUGUGAGUGUCGGGUUUUAACUGGGCUGAUCCUGAAUGUUUCAAUGCAUGCCUUUACAGUGGUAAAUUGCACCCAUUUUAAAUUAAGGAGGUUUGUCAUUCAGUAGGAAGAAACUAGAAAUACUGCAUAGGCAAUCAAGGUCCCUUGGAGAAGACCAGGUUUUGACAAAAACAAAAACAAAAACAAAAACAAUUUUGAAGGCUUUGUGUAAUUUGUUCUUUUUUUUCAGAACACAGCGAAUGUUUCCUAAAUCCUUGCCUUUCGCUUCCUCCGAUCACAGGUGCUAAUGUGCUUUUGAGUCGUUAAAAUAGUUUGAUAAACUGUUUUUUUUUUUUCAUUUUUCUUGCCAUCUAUAGUCUUAUUAACAUUAAACAUAUACAACAUUUGAACACCCUUUAAAACGAUCAUCUACAUGGUUGCGUUAUGUUUCGGUAGAUUUUUUUUUUUUCCAGUUUUGCUUUCGUUGAUUUUAUUUAUUUAUUUAUUUAUUUAUUUAUUUUUACUUUAACUUCUGUCUCAUUUUAUCUAUUGUUCCUGUAACAGUGGUUUAUGCAGCAUUGAACAGUGGUUUAGAGCUGAACUAACUGUGCAAAUUGAAUAUGCAGUAUUUCUUUAAAAGAGACUGAUAAAGAAAACAAAAACGGAACAAACUCAGUAAUAAACCUCCUUAAUCUAAUGGCAUUUUUUUCUGUUGCCCCACUAAGUUUCCUCACGCCAGCAUGCCAUCGCAGUAUGAUUUUUUUCCUUUGCUUUUUAUUUAUUUAUUUUUGUUUGUUUGUUUGUUUGUUCUUCCUUUCGCUUUUUUGGCUUUUAUCAUCUACAAAUCUGCUAGCAGUUUACUGACCAUGCCUGCUUCCAAGCCUGCUAGGAGCUCCUAACAUUUAACAGCUCAUGGCCUGUUUACCCUCUCUUCCCUCUUAAUAUUAAUGAAAGUAGAUU
rnacentral:lncRNA from 1 species